UGAGACAAUUCUAAACAUUAUCUGACAUAAAGAUUUAAUCUUUUUUUUUUUUUUACAUUGGUGCUGUUAUUCACUUUUUGCCAGGAGAAACAAAUCAUCAAGGCAUGACACAGGUCUUGUGUCAGAAGAUUGAGGCCCUCACAUCAAGUAUAAGAACAAGAUCUCAACGCCUUUACCAAAACAAUGACCGCAACAAAUGUCGACAUAGACUUCAAUAAGGCAACAAAAGACCACUUUGCAGGCCAUGCUAGCCGAGUACAAAAGCCUUGUUACACCCGAGCAAGCAGUGUGCAUGGAUCCCUGGCCUUGGCAAAUAAAAUAAAUAAAAUGGCACUGUUGAUUUCAGCACAAAGAAGGAAGUCUUCGAUAGGGUCAUGGCAGUUCGAAGUCUUCAAGAGGAGAAGAUCCUUGUGAAAGAGAUCAAGCAGCACUGGGAUUCUCUCAAGGCCCAUGCCAGUGUCUUGUCUGAGUUGUCUCUCUUGUCUGAGUGAAAACACCCUGCAAGAGGAUCUGGAGUGGUUUCAUUCGACUCCCACAGGUACGCCUCCUAACACCCCUGGUCUAUUUGCACCCCUAACGGCAUCCGGAUCUCCUCAAUCCCUUUCAUCAUCGUCAUCAUCGCCACCUCUAUCGCCGGAACACUUCCUACCCUCCCCACCUACACCUCCUCUGCCACCAUCUCUAUUGUUUGGGGCACUUCCCCCUCAGACAUGUGCAUAUCAAUCAACCCCCUCAACAUAUGCUGCAUUACAACAGGGAGGUGUUGCUGAUUGUUCGGACAUAGAGGCGCCUGAUCAGACGGAUGGUGUGGUGUCAUCUUUGUUUAUAGAUAGCGUUAAAACAGCGUCUCUACAUCUUCUUAACAUUGUUCUUUACAAGUAUU